UUAUGGAUGAGCAAAGAAAGUGGUUUCUUGAAAUGAAAUCUACUUCCCAUGAAGAUGUUAUAAA
rnacentral:pre_miRNA from 1 species